GCUCGGUAGCCCCACCAUGGUGAGCGAGUGGUUGCUCUCCACAGAUAGGGAAGAAUGGUGGGCCAAGACGAGCGAGGGGCUGCUGUCCCCAGGAAAAGAGGAUUGGCCGGCCAUGACAAGGUUUGUCUGUGUAUCCCUGGCUGUCCUGAAAGUGGCUCUGUAGACCAGGAUGGCCCCUAACUCAGAGAUCUACCUGACUGUGGCUACCAAGUGCUGGGAUUAAAGAGGAGACAGGGUCUUGCUGCCCUGGAACUGAUUGCAUAGACUAGAGUGACAUUCAAUUCAGAAGAAUCACUCUCUGCCUUCUGAGCACUGGGAUUAAAGGCAUGACCCAAUACACCCAGCUUGCCUGCUAUUUUUCUUUUUUUGUAGUUAGUAAUUGUUAACACAAUUUCUCCGAUGUGUACUCAGUACUGCUGAUCUGUUUGCUUGUCUCUCUGUCUGCUAAUAGUCAUUUCUUUUGCAAUGUGAUAUCCCAUUCAAAGGGUGCAGAAAUGACAGGUAAACCUCCUAUUCAGUUUCCUUCUAAAGUGCCUUUGUGAUGAUACUAUAAUGUCCAUGUCAUGGAUUAAGUGUGGGAAACACCAGAAUUAUAUGACUAUAUUGUCAAAGAAGUAUACAUUUACAAUGUUGUCAGUAUCAUGCUUUUUGUUGUACACAUGUAUGGGAUC